GAAGGAAGACGGGUCGCUUUUGAAAAGGCUGUGACCCUGAGGAACUUCAGGGCGCAGGGACUGCCCCGGCUCCCCAACUCGGCGCACCCCGCCCGAGGUGGCGGGCUGGUGUGGAGACGGGGUGCCCCUGCUCCUGCCCAGCGCCCCGCCGUGAGGCCCGACCCCGGGCCGCCCCCUGAGAGCCAGGACGGAGCGCCCACCGCUCAGGCCGCCCGCGGCAGGGAGAGGAAUGACGGCGGGGUGGUCUCAGGCUGCUCCUCCACAGGCUCCUCAACCGACCACGAGCCUGAGACUCGAUUCAAAAUCACGCCACUGAGAGGAGUCAUGGACCAGCCAGGGGAAGUUCGGGAUAGGCUUAUACAACCCCAGGAAACAAAAUUCAGUGAUAGAACACUAGGUGUAUCUAUCAGAGUAGAGGUGACAUACAUCUGGCAAGAAAAGGGAGAGCGGAGUAAACUUGGAAAGCUAACAAGCACUGCGGUCACUGUUAAAUUCAAUUGAACUGAUUUGGGCUUGAAUUGUGGCCCCUUUUUUUCCAGUUGUGAUUGUGGAUAAGUGUUCUGAUCCUUAUUUGCCCAAUUUAUGAAAUAAAGAUAAUGUGUCUACCUCA
rnacentral:lncRNA from 1 species